rnacentral:rRNA from 1 species
UCUGGAUGGUAGUGUAUUGGACUACCAUGGAAGUCACGAUUUCGAGGAAUUAGGGUUUGAUAUCGAAGAGGGAGCCUUAAAAAUGGCUACUACUUCUAAGGAAGGCAGCAGGCGCGUAAAUUACCCAAUCCUGAUUCAGGGAGGUAGCGACGAUAAAUAAUAACACAGAUUGUAUCUACAAUUAUGUGAUUAAAAUGAGAACAAUUUAAACAUCUUAUCGAGGAACAAUAAGAGGGCAAGUUGGGUGCCAGCAGCCGCGGUAAUUCCUACUCUUAUAGUGUAUAUUAAAGUUGUUGCAGUUAAAAAGCUCGUAGUCGAUUAUCUAGUACUGGCCGUCAUGGCUCACGUCAAGACGUGCGAGUGCUAUCAGCUCGAGAACUUUAACUAUCUUAACUGGUCGUUGAUGCUUGAUCGGGCACUUUACUGAGAAAAAAUUAGAGUGUUUAAAGCAGGCUAAUGCCGUGAAUAUUACAGCUUGGAAUAAUAGAAUAAGACUGAAGUAUAUUUUGUUGGUUAUUAACUUUAGUAAUGGGUUUAUAGAAACAGUCGGGGGCAUUAGUACUUAAUUGCCAGAGGUGAAAUUCUAUGAUUUAUUAAAGACUAACAUAUGCGAAAGCAUUUGCCAAGGAUGUUUUCAAUUGAUCAAGAACGAAAGUUAGGGGAUCAAAGACGAUUAGAUACCGUC